UACAACGUUGACAAAUACAUUUUCAAGCAAUGAAGACACAAAUAUUCAAAGGUAUGUAAAAUUAAUUAGUACUUUGUUAACUUUGUUUUAUUGACGUUCUACACUUAAUUACAAUUUUUACUAGGCUUUCUCUUUAGGCGAAUUAGCUAUUACUAAUAUAUAUAUAUAUAUAUAUAUAUAUAAACUAGCUUCUUUUCACUAGAGAUAAAAGUAUAAAAGUAGACAUUUGCACUAGAGAUAUACCCGCUCCACAUAUUUUAAUCUAAUAUGUUCUUUCACAGAUUUACAAAAUAUGGGCAGGAUUUAUCAUUAGUGAAAGGAUGUCUGUUUAUACUUUUGAAUAUUGGCCUUAAACCUUUCACUAGACAAACAAAUAAUAAGCCAUGUAUUCACAAUAAGUUAGAAGAAGAAGGUAUCUAUAUAAAUUGAUAAUAGUUAAUUCCUGUAAAGAGAAAAGAUGGAAAUGAUUAUUCUUACUCCAGAUAAUCAAAACUAAGUUUACCAAUUUACAUAAAUCUGAUCCGUCUUAGAGCGCCAUUUAAUUUUGUUUUAAAAAUUAUAAAAUUGGCAAAUAAACUGCUAUUUAAUCAUAGCAUGAUUUGCAACACUUUCGUAACUCUCUCUGUUUCUGUGCUUUUCUCUUGGUUUUUAUAGUUUUUUAGUGAUUGCUGUGCCACAAACCAUUUGGCCUGAUUUAACUCCCAUAUUUUAAAUAAUUUGUUUGUCCCGCCAUUAAUUUUUUAAUUAUUAUUUUUUCUCUCUGUCCCACAAAUGUUGUUGCUUGGCCUCUGAUUGUUUUAAUUUUUGGUUAUACUCCGCUUUUUGGGCCUCUGUCUUCCACGUGUUGAUCAUUGUGCGGGUUCUGUUCAGAGGCUGAUUGUUUUAUUUUUUGGUUUUGCUCUGAUUUUUCAGCCUCUGUCUUCCACGUGUUGAUCAUCGAGAACUAUUCUAUUUAGAGGCCUUAAUGCUUUUUCUUUUGUUUUCAUUGCAUUCUCUCCUCACUUUUUCCUUUUGUUUUUCCGCUUCUCUCUACCUCUCAUAUGCGUUGCUCAUAUAGUGAUUUGGUCUUCUGAUUCUUCAGUGCAAUGGGGCUCUGUACCUUUGCUGAUGUUUCUGGCCGGUUGGUUGGGCGGCUUCCUCUAAUGGGGUACGCUUCUGUUAUUUUGUUAUAUGUUCUUUUGCUAUUCAUUCACUCAAAAUUCCAAAAAUCGAAUAUAGUAAAAUAGUAGGUCAAAUUCAUUAAUGUUAUCUUAACUUCUGUUUAAUAGAUUUAUAUUGUUGCAUGUUUGAUUUUAUUUUAUUUUUUUAAUUUAUUUAUUUUUUUUGCGUGUUUGAUUUUAUGAAUUUUUGCUGUUUGUUUUGUUAAUUGCAAAUUUAUAGUGUUUGAUUGAUUUCGGUGAGGGUGAGUUGUUAAGUUUUCCUUUAUUUAUUCAUGAUGUUUUAUAAAUGAUUGCAUGUUCUAUAUCUAAUUUCACUAACUCUUCGGGUGUAUUUUUCACAGUGGUUGUUCAUUUUUUCUGUUAUCAGUGCUUACCACCUGUUUGAGAAUAUGUAUUAAAUUGGCCUUUUUUUAGAUUAUUGAUAUGUUUUGGAUGUUUUUUGGUUUGUCGUGUGUAAGAAUGUGAAAUCAACUAUAUAAGGUAGUCCAUUUCAAUAUAGCAGUAGCAGCUGCAGGAACUACAACAGUAGCAGCUGCUGGGAUUCUAGAUGGAUGAAGAGGAGUGGGGUUAUAUUGAAGUCAGACCCAAGCGCAUAUGUUCUGCUGUUCAAGCCAAAUGGCCAACCACUCUCUAGCAUCAAAGUGGACCAUUGAGUAUUACCAAACUUUAUCAAAUCAAAUAAUAUGAACAACUCAUCUUCUUUUCAACAUAUUUUUCCGACAUUUUUUUCAUGUAUCAAUGAUUAUUUUUCCAAAAUUUGAACCCAAGAAUCUAAAUGUGUUAC